GCUUGCAUUUGAUUAGUUUGUUGGUGGGGUAAUGGCCUACCAAGACUUUGAUCAAUAGCUGAUCUGAGAGGAUGAUCAGCCACAUUGGGACUGAGACACGGCCCAAACUCCUACGGGAGGCAGCAGUAGGGAAUAUUGCACAAUGGAGGAAACUCUGAUGCAGCGAUGCCGCGUGAGUGAAGAAGGCCUUUGGGUUGUAAAGCUCUUUCGUCGGGGAAGAAAAUGACUGUACCCGAAUAAGAAGGUCCGGCUAACUUCGUGCCAGCAGCCGCGGUAAUACGAAGGGACCUAGCGUAGUUCGGAAUUACUGGGCUUAAAGAGUUCGUAGGUGGUUAAAAAAGUUGGUGGUGAAAUCCCAGAGCUUAACUCUGGAACUGCCAUCAAAACUUUUUAGCUAGAGUGUGAUAGAGGAAAGCAGAAUUUCUAGUGUAGAGGUGAAAUUCGUAGAUAUUAGAAAGAAUACCAAUUGCGAAGGCAGCUUUCUGGAUCAUUACUGACGCUGAGGAACGAAAGCAUGGGUAGCGAAGAGGAUUAGAUACCCUCGUAGUCCAUGCCGUAAACGAUGUGUGUUAGACGUUGGAAAUUUAUUUUCAGUGUCGCAGCGAAAGCAUUAAACACACCGCCUGGGGAGUACGACCGCAAGGUUAAAACUCAAAUGAAUUGACGGGGACCCGCACAAGUAGUGGAGCAUGUGGUUUAAUUCGAAGAUACGCGCAGAACCUUACCAACACUUGACAUGUUCGUCGCGACUUUAAGAGAUUAAAGUUUUCGGUUCGGCCGGACGAAACACAGGUGCUGCAUGGCUGUCGUCAGCUCGUGUCGUG
rnacentral:rRNA from 1 species